CUUCCAGUGUUGCUGGAUUACAACUCCCAUCUGCCCUGGUCACUGGCCAUGCUGGCGGGGGCUGAUGGGAAUUGUAGUCCAGUAACACUGGAAG